GAAAUACAAAUUGAAGAGGGCAUGAGAGUGGGCUUAUCAGAGCAAGUACGACAGAUUUCAGAUAAUGAGUGGAACCCAAGUUCAAAACAAAAAUAAAAAAACAAUACAGAAGCAGAGGGAUCAGAGGAUCGGGUAACAAGUUUUGAAGUCGAAGAAGAACUUUUCAAAUAAUACAAAAUAGAAGAAAAAAGAAAGCGUUC
rnacentral:lncRNA from 1 species